CACUCUGUGAGCGCGUGGUCCUGGUCGCGAGCACAUGGAAGUGAGCUCGAGUUGAGACGCGUCUCUGACCAUCACCAUCGUGAAAACAUUAGUAAAAAAAACCCGGAAUAUGACCACAAAGAUGGAGCAUCAGGAGCUGAGACACAGCAGCGGGUUUUUAAACUAAAUCUUCCUUUAAGAUGCACGAGCAGGCAACGGCUGCUGCUGCUGGGACCGCAGAAGCUCACCGCUGUGGAUCCAAUUAACUCACAAUUGAGGAUUUUGGACUAAAUAGGAAAGAUGCAAAGAUGGAAGCAGACUGUGUUGGAUUCAGUUUCACAGCAUCUUUUAGAAGCAUACGUGUACAUACAAAUGAGUUUUAAUAGUACCUACUUCCCCUUUCUUUGACAGGACACAGAUACACCCCUGACUGGGCCCCCCUGUGGUUCAUUGAGUUUGGGAAGUACCUAGUAGUACAACUGCCACUGUUGCUCUUAAAGGGCCAGCAGGGUGUUUUAUUUACCAGAAGUCAUAUUGUUGAAUGUUUGAAACUUUUUAGCUUACAUUUAGGUGUGUUGUGUAUAACUGAUGUGGUCAUGAGGACUUUGAUAUUUGAGACCUGGAAAUCAAGACGCGACUAUAUAUGGACGCAAGUGAAAUAGGGGAGGGACUUGCUUUGCAGCCAAUCCUAAACCUAUGUACAUUUUUUAAAAAUUGUCUAUUUACACCAUUUUUGUAGCUCAUUUUAGGCACUUCCUAUUGUUAAAUGUUGGAAAAAGGUGCACACUUUUAUGAAUAAAAUUGUCAGUAUAGCAGAAUCAUCAUUGCUUUGUUUUUAUGUUUGUAUCCAGUUAAUCAAGGAAGCCUGUGAAGUCACCUGAAGACCAGCUAGUGCUGCUUACAGGGGAAAACCUUUCACUCUACUUAUGAGCCACUUGUACUUUUUAACAGAUCAUUUUACACCCACAAGACACCUUACUGCAGAAUUUCAGUGUUGUUGUUUUUACAUGUGAUUAACAGCUGAGUCAGCGGCACCAAUUCCCAUCAACAAGAUGUCUGAUGAGAUAUUUUAAGAUAAAUGUGAAAGAUGAUCAAUUUAGGGAAAAAGUGAGUGAAACAGAGCAUGUACACCAUCGAAAAUGUUGAGGAAAAACAUGCAGUAAAGCUGUUAGAGCCCGAUAGAGGUUGCAUGUUACGACUGUUGUUGACAGCAUCGACUGCCUUAUUGGUUUAAGUGUCUGGGUUUAGUGCACCACAAACCAAAAGUGGGUUAUUUUCUCAUGUCGUGAAUCCUGAAAACACCCCAGUUAUGUAAUCUACACAUUUGCCCGAACAUUUCUGAGAAUGUUUAAAAUGAAAGCGAAGGUAAAAGAAUGAAAAACCGUAAGUUUGAGAACCGUAAAGCUGAAAUAGUUAUGCAUGCACUGUUCUUCUGCACAACAGCGAAUAAACAGCGAUACAAAAUCUUUCACUCUCAGUUUCAAUCUUAAAAUUUAAUUGUCACGUUGACUUCCGUGGAUUGUGUGCCUGAAGCGGUCUGUUUACAGGUGAAGGUCUGAGGGCUGCCUGGGCAGCAGCUCCCCCUAGUGGUGAACAUGGCAAUCUAAUUUCAACUUUACAUAAGCAGGCGGAAAAAAAUUAACAAGCAGAGAUGCUUAGUGAACUUAUUAAAGCUGUUAAAGAGGAGGGCAAGAAAGAAAUAAUAUGACUGGAUACAGAGCUCCACUUGUUGAUUUUUUUUUUUUUCACGCAAGCUAACUUCAGUACUGUAGCACAGCUAGCUUAUACUGGAAGUUAGAAAAGUAGAAAUGGGAUUGUUUUUAUGCCACUUACUAUAUAGUAACAAGUAGAGUCAAAUACGUUUAUUAAAGAUUGAGGUUUAAGACACCAGCAUAAAAAUAUGUACUGUUAAUGAGUUUUAAGUUGCAUAUGGACAAUUCAGAGAAUUAAGAACUAUUUCCCACUAGUAAUAAUUAGAAGAAUGCAUCCUGAAUUGACUCACAACUUCUUUAGGAGAAAUGAUUGCUUUACAGUUUCUCUAUUAUAUAUUUGUUUGUAUAACAGAAAUGAGUGAAAAACAAAAAGCUGAAAUUCAAAAGUUAAUCUGCUUAGACAAAAAUUAGCCACCUUAAAAGCAAAUAUCUGAACACUGGCUAGUUGUAAUUGUUUUUCAGUUUCUGAAAGUUGUAAAAUCUUUACAUUUCAUAAUCUUUGAAAAACGUAUUUCCAAAGCACAUUCUUAUUUAAUGUUUUAAAUGUAAUUCUUCUUUUUCUUAGCUGGUAUCACUUGUUUCAUUCUGGGAUUCGUUGGUCUGUCUGGGGAGUUCAGGUGUCACUGUGGUGUGGCAAAACUACAAAUCGCAUUAUGCAAAGAAAAAAAUGACUCAUCUCAGAAAUCAUUUGUGUCAAUAAAUUCUGCUCUUCCCUAUAAACCUAGAGAAGAAUCUGGCUCCUUAAACCGAGUUACUGCCUUAAAACUGCAAGUUCAGACAAUUAAAAUCAAAACUUUAUUGUUAAAUUAGCCACUACUUUCCCCUUUAUCAUCAACAAGUGGAUAGGGUUUGCUUUGAAAACAGGGAUUACAAUUGGCUUAAACCUGUUGUUAUUAAACUUAAAAUAUACUAAAGGUAUUUUCAUUUUUUAAAUUGAACUCCCACUCCCUUUUCUUAUCUCAAGUAAGUUAAGCAUGAGUCAUUGAAGUUUUAACUUAAUUUCUGUAAUUCAUAUAGGUCUUAAAUUUAACACAUAAUGAUAUGAAAAGUAUUCAACUGAAACUGGGGAAAACCAUGUCUUGUUUUGGUUUUAGCUCGAACAUGUUAAAAUGUUCAGCAAAGGAAAAAUCCCCCUGAGUAACACUAAUAAGAAACAAAACUGAAGAACAUCAAAGUCAAGUUACAGAUAAACAGGCUGAAAAUUGACCUUCAAAACACAAAUGUUUUAGAAGUUGCACUAGAUUUAGAUUUUAUGCUAUAUGGUGCACAAAUUAAAGCUAGGUCACAAUAGCUAAUAUAAGCUAAGGUAACUUAUCUAAUCAAACAAAAACAUGUAACUACCCCAGAUGAAUUUAAUAAUCAUGUUGCUAGUAAUGUUUUAAGAUCUUAUGACAUAUUUUUUAAGUCAAAAAGUGGGAAAAAAUAUUAUAUUACUGGAUGCAUCAUUAAGAAUAUUAAUGCUAAACUAACUUAGCUUAUCUAAAAUAUGUUAGCUUAGAUAAGUUAUUGUAAGCGAACCUAGCUUAGAUUAUUAAGUAAACUCGUUUACAUUUACUAGUUCCUAAAAUCCGAUUUGUAACAUUUUGUGAAAUUUGACAAGCUUGUUUUGUGUAAACUAUUAGCAUGGAGUUCUUAUGCUAAAGUGACUUUUGAUCACAAUUUAUAUCAAAGAGAUUGAAGUUGUUCUUUAGUUGGUUUGUGGUCAUUUGACUGUCUGGUAUUCUUCAGGUUUGGCAGUACAGUACACCAGGUGUAAGCCAUCUAAUAGAUUUUAAAAUCCUUAUCUUUGGCUAGCCUUCAGAAACUCUUAGAUGUGGUCAGCUGAGCAAAGCAAAGCUCAUUAGACUGGAUAUUGCUCCAUGUCACUUUUUAUCACGCUUUCUCUUGUACCUUGGUCCCUCCUUUGCAUGCUUGAACUUUCUUUGGAAAACACUCACCCAGGGCACUUUUGCCUGUUCUGAGAAGACUCAUGCGAACUCACACUGUGCCAGGUCAAGCUUUUUGAUUCUGACUUCUGCUCACUUUCAUGUUGGGAUCAGGAGGUGCGGGAAGGAGGUUAAACAAACACAAAGCUCAUUAAAAUAAACCUCUGUCAACUCCCACUCUCUUUUUUUUUCACUGCUGUACAGGAAUGUGCUGUCAGGCGUCACAACCCACGCAUAGCUGCUGCAGGACUCCAGAAAAGCAUCCCCACAUGAUGAUGCUGCCACCUCCAUCUGUGACUGUGGGGAUGAUGUGUUCAGAGUAGUCCAGAGUAUUAGGGUGUUUUACUUCAGGGAAACGUCUGACUUCAUCGUUAGUGUUCACGCCCUCGGCCUUUUGAUGUGACUGCUCUGUUUGUUCACCAGCGCCAGCGGUCUGCUCUCUCCCAUUCAGCUAUCGACUCACUUGUUAAACUCCCACCCGGCCACACACACACACACGCCGACGCACGCAUGCAUACACACAUGCUGGCUGGGCUCCACCAGUGGCAUUGUUUGCAUUUAACACCAAGAGGUGAGAGGCGUUCAACCUCGUUUGCACAUCACGUGUCACAGCCACUGCCUGCAGGGCUCAGAUCAGUCACAUGUGAGCUGUCAUAAGCCCCCGAAGCAAAGAAACUGCAGAUUAAAAAGAGUCCCGACUUGUUGCAGAAAAAGCCUGUUGAGUGGCAGAAAAUCUUAUGAAGGAAUCCAUAAAAACUGACUGAAAACCGCUCCUCUAAAUACUCCUCCUGAUUGCUGCCUGAUGAACUCCAGCUGCAACCAAUCCGGCUGUCACACCCUGGAGAGAGAGAAGAUUGAUGGAGUUCAGAUUCUCCAUGAAGUGGAUAAUAAGGAGACUGGAGAUUGUCUUUCACUCCGACUGAUCAAGCAACUGAUCAGGUUCGAAAUCUGGGAGCAUGAUGGACUUUGAGCUGAGCCUCCAGAAACACGUUAAAAUGGUGGAGAUGACGGCUGAGAACAUCAUCUUUGCUGCUUUCUCAUCCUGAACAACUCUGAAGAUUUUUUCUAGUUACUUUGGAACCAUCUUAUCUCUGUGGUCCUCACACAUUAAUACCAUUCAGAAGAAAUCCCAGCAGAGACUGGUACAAGAAGUAAAACCUACUGAAAGAGCUGCUGGACUUCUUCUUUUUCCUGUGCACAUCCAUCACUGAGUGGUUUGGCUCAUCCACAAAACAGGAGAGGACCAGAGCACUUAAUUGGGAGAGGAUCAUCAGGGCUGGUAUCCCUUUUAUAGUAUCUAAAGGUGGUGGACUGGGAUACCUUCUAAAAUAUAUACACAAAUCUUUGGUUUUUGUGACAUGUACGUUUUAAGUCUUGCAAUAAAAUUUUCCACCACCUAA